AAUAAAUAAACAAACCUUGUUAUAAAAAUAAUAAGUUUUGUUUCAGAGAAUUCGAGAGAAGACAUUUAAUUUCCCUCCUCAUCCUCCAGAGGUCCGCUUGACAUCAACAUACUGGCCUGCACUGGAGGGUUUUUUACUAGACUUAUAUGAAUAGUAAUGAGUGCCAUCAAAAACACUUGAAUGCCACUGCCAAUAACAGCUGCAAAAAGCAUCCUCUUGGGUGGAGGUCUAAACACAUCACCAUGCACUAACUUCCAGCCAGUCUCCUCCAUCAUGUCAUCAAUGCUUUCAUCUGAAUUAUAACGGGCAAUAUCUCUUCUUAGUGUCCUUACCAUUAUCAUGGUCAAUAUGCCUGAAAUGUGACACUACUUAAGACCAUUCAUGGAACAACCAACUUUUUGAAAUAAUGAUAUUCCAAAUGUCAAGUUCUAUAGUUCAACUUAUGUCAUGUUAUGUCUAUCUUCAUGUAUUAUGUGUGUUUUAAUGUACAUUUAUUUUAAGGUUGUGCAAUAAAGAGGAUUUUAAUGUUA